CAUAUUUAAAUGCAUGGCCCAACAAACAAAAUCACCUAAACCCAACAAAUAAAACUGAAAAAGGGACAGCCGCCGCCGCCGCCGCCUCCCCUUCUUCAUCACUUGUUUACUGGCCAUGGCAUCGCUACCGGCCUAUGACAUAUCUGCGUCUGGACGGACAUCAGGAAAGCUCAACCUCACAGCCCUGCAAUCCGAUAUGAAAGCUGAUCCCGAAGGAUAUAGUUCGGAGGUGUCGCUUGNUUUGUAGUAAUUCAAAUUUUCCCAUGAUAAAGUUAAAUAUAAUAUCAAUGUGGGAAUAAUGAAUGACUAAUGUAAGAAUGUGAAUGACCUUUUAUUUAGGUAAUGAAUUGCUAAAGUUUGAUAUGUUUUCAAUGUGGGAUAAAUGAAUUAAGAUAGCAAAGAAUAGUGAAUGGAGAAGAUGCCACCUAGGAUUGAGGAUGAAUGUGGUGUGUCUAAUAUGCAUUGCUUUAUAGAAUUGAUAGAUGUCGUGGUCAUCUUAUAUUAUUUUAUUUUGUUCUUAUAUUAUUUUAUUUUGUUCUUAUGUAGGAGGGUGGAUUCAAAUCAAAAUAAGCAUAUGCAUCCGAUCUUUUCAAACUAAAUAUCAAAAUUCCACGGCAUGCUAGUUUAUAUAAAAGAAAUAUUUCUAUUCUUUAAACCAAAAAUUAACAGUUAAUUCAAAAAAUAAUUUAAAUUAAUAUCAUUUAAACUAUGCCAUUAUUUUAAUUUGAUUAAAUUAAAUUAAUUAAAAAUUAUGCCAUUAUUUAUAUAAAAAUUAUUCAAUAUACUAUAAUUACAAAAAUAAUAUAAAAUAAUUAUAAAUUACGUUGGAAAAUAAUUGCCGUCCAAUGAAUUACACUCUAGUAAUUCAUAUUUAAAUGCACAAAAAAAAAUCAUAUUUAAAUGCAUGGCCCAACAAACAAAAUCACCUAAACCCAACAAAUAAAACUGAAAACGGGACAGCCGCCGCCGCCGCCGCCUCCCCUUCUUCAUCACUUGUUUACUGGCCAUGGCAUCGCUACCGGCCUAUGACAUAUCUGCGUCUGGACGGACAUCAGGAAAGCUCAACCUCACAGCCCUGCAAUCCAAUAUGAAAGCUGAUCCCGAAGGAUAUAGUUCGGAGGUGUCGCUUGUUUACAAUCAGUUUAAAUCCUCUAUCGAAAUCUUUGAGGAGAAAGCCCGGUUGAAUUUCACUUCGCUCAGUGGAAUCUCCGC
rnacentral:lncRNA from 1 species